rnacentral:rRNA from 1 species
AACGAACGCUGGCGGCAGGCCUAACACAUGCAAGUCGAACGCACCGCAAGGUGAGUGGCGCACGGGUGAGUAACACGUGGGAAUGUACCCUUUGGUUCGGAAUAACGUCUGGAAACGGACGCUAAUACCGGAUGAGCCCUGCGGGGGAAAGAUUUAUCGCCAAAGGAGCAGCCCGCGUCUGAUUAGCUAGUUGGUGGGGUAAAGGCCUACCAAGGCGACGAUCAGUAGCUGGUCUGAGAGGAUGAUCAGCCACACUGGGACUGAGACACGGCCCAGACUCCUACGGGAGGCAGCAGUGGGGAAUAUUGGACAAUGGGCGAAAGCCUGAUCCAGCCAUGCCGCGUGAGUGAUGAAGGCCUUCGGGUUGUAAAGCUCUUUCGCACGCGACGAUGAUGACGGUAGCGUGAGAAGAAGCCCCGGCUAACUUCGUGCCAGCAGCCGCUGUAAAAC